rnacentral:misc_RNA from 1 species
AUUGUGAAUUUUUUUUCCAAUCUCACAGGAUCAAAAUGAGAAACCAAGCCUUAAAUAAGGAAGAAUUGUUUUAUCGCGUCGGAUAAAUUUAAAAUAUACGUUCGUAUGACAAUAAAAAAAUAUCGGCCAUGAAGAGUUUGUCUCUUUAUUGCCUCUUGAUUAUCUUUUUUUCUGAGCCUUGUUUAUUUAUCCACUAAUGGAUUUACUAUCUGUUUCAGCCUGGGAGAAUGCUCUUUCCGCCAGCUAAUUAAGAUGGUCCCCUCUCGAAAUGCGACUCAGAUAUGUAGCAGUGAACAGACAACGCAGCCCAAUAUAACUCAGAAGGACUCAGAAAUCGAAGCGGUGCUCUAUAUCGUUGUAACAUUGUUAUUUUACUCGCUGGGAAUAAUCAUCGGCAUUAUUUUUGUAUCUGAAGAGAGAGAAGCAAGAGAUUGAGGAGGAUAAAUGGUAUGACGAGUUUUUAUCAUACGCUGAGGACCCAAAUACGGCUUUACGGUAUUCAAGGGUUCAGCAAGUUGUGGCUAGGCUUAAUUACUUGGAACAGCAGAAACUGAAGAGGGAGAGAGCACCAACAGACAAAAAAUUAUCAAUAAUGGAAAACAGACGGACGACGUGUGAAAAUUUAACGAUUGUGGAAAGUGAAGAAGCAGACGAGAGGCAAAAUGUGUGUGACCAACAAUGUUGUGUAGUGGACGAAUGUGGAGAAAUGGCGGAUUCCAAUGUAUUUCAGCAAGACGGAGAGUCGAUCUCGGCCGUUGUUGCCAAACUUAUAGAUCCCGAAAAAGAUAAGUAUCUACUCGAGGAUUCCUUUGAAGACAAUAUUAAAAAAGGCAUUCCAUCGUCCUGUUCUAUGCAGUCUAUCAAGGAUUACGAAGAGGAGCCGAGACGUAGCGAGCGUUCUUCUGUGUCGUCUGCCAACGAAGAAAAUUUGAUUGGAGAAGAAAAGACUAAGUUGCUAACAGAAGGCGACAAUGUAUUUGAUGAUUCCUGCACAGAUCAACAACAGAAGAAAAUCAAAGGAUGUAUAGUCACAAAUGUUUAGCAGACCUCUAGCGGACGUCGAUCGGACGUUCCGGAGAAUGAUGUCUAGAAAAAUUAAAUUACAGACCAAUGCUGCCCAUGGCAGUUGCAAUUUGUUUACGGCGUUUUAAUACUCGUGUGAAUUUGGCUGUGCGUGUAUCGAUUGGCUGCAGAUGUUAGAUGGAAAUAUUUGAUAUGUGUUUUUCACAUCGACCAAUGUUAAAACGAUUAUGUAUACACUAUUCUCAUCGAACGAAAAUAAUUAACUUCAGUAAGCAGUAAUUCAUAUCUGAAUCGAAACAACUGUUUUGUACUGUGCAUAUUUUGUAUGUUUAUAUGUUAAAACCAGUAUUGAUCUUUGCACGAAUUUGUGAGUAAAAAUAUGAAUGUU